rnacentral:rRNA from 1 species
UACGGAAGGUGCGAGCGUUAAUCGGAAUUACUGGGCGUAAAGCGCACGUAGGUGGUUUUAUAAGUCGGAUGUGAAAGCCCCGGGCUUAACCUGGGAAUUGCAUCUGAUACUGUCUGACUAGAGUAUGCUAGAGGGAAGUGGAAUUCCAGGUGUAGCGGUGAAAUGCGUAGAUAUCUGGAGGAACACCAAUGGCGAAGGCAACUUCCUGGGGCAAUACUGACACUGAUGUGCGAAAGCGUGGGGAGCAAACAGG